rnacentral:rRNA from 1 species
UACGGAGGGUGCAAGCGUUAUCCGGAUUCACUGGGUUUAAAGGGUGCGUAGGUGGGCAGGUAAGUCAGUGGUGAAAUCUCCGGGCUUAACCCGGAAACUGCCAUUGAUACUAUCUGUCUUGAAUACCGUGGAGGUGAGCGGAAUAUGUCAUGUAGCGGUGAAAUGCUUAGAUAUGACAUAGAACACCAAUUGCGAAGGCAGCUCACUACACGAAUAUUGACACUGAGGCACGGAAGCGUGGGGAUCAAACAGG